CGACCGCGUGGCUGGAAGUCAUGGAGGGUCCUGUCGGUGAUGAGCCGGGAGAACUGCCUCAGGCCUUAGGUGAUGGCCUUUCUUUCGCAUCUGCAGAGAUGGUGAAAAGCAGAGCUGGAGGGUGAAGCUUAAAAGUAAUUGAUGGAUCCCUACAAUAAGUAAGAAUGGCUGCAGGCAGGACCUGGGUGGUCACCAGAAAUGAGAAAACGGCGUGGUGUAACGGUCUGUCACAUACAUAUGCCUCAUACUUUAUUCCGAAGUUAAGUUCAAGUGUAUGAAUUCUUGUUGACCGCUAAGUCCAGUUAAACGAUUAAAGAUGUUGGUUGUGGAUUUUGAAAAGGUCCUGUGAAAACCCAUUAUCUUAAGAUGUUGAAUGUAAGGAUCUUCGUGAUAAAGUUUCUGUAAACGGUACAGCCUCAGCCUCAGUUUCUGAGGCUGAAAAAGGAUCCUUAGCAGCAGCACACUGUGGCAGUUGCCCUGGACCCAGACCCAGACCUGAAAUCAAUGAUGAAUAUUUCUCAUGCAUGUGUCUGCAGUGUGUGAGACAGAAUUGUGAACUGCUUUGCCUGAGG